rnacentral:tRNA from 1 species
UCUUAAGUAGUUUAAUUAAAAUAAUGAUUUGUGGUAUCAUUGAUGUAAUAUAUUACCUUAGGUA